CAUGUAGGCGGUUGUCUAAGUCUGAUGUGAAAGCCCUGGGCUCAACCCAGGAAGUGCAUUGGAUACUGGACAACUUGAGUACGGGAGAGGAAAGUGGAAUUUCGAGUGUAGGGGUGAAAUCCGUAGAUAUUCGAAGGAACACCAGUGGCGAAGGCGGCUUUCUGGACCGAUACUGACGCUGAGAUGCGAAAGCGUGGGGAGCAAACA
rnacentral:rRNA from 1 species